rnacentral:rRNA from 1 species
GACGAACGCUGGCGGCGUGCUUAACACAUGCAAGUCGAACGGAAAGGCCCUGCUUUUGUGGGGUGCUCGAGUGGCGAACGGGUGAGUAACACGUGAGUAACCUGCCCUUGACUUUGGGAUAACUUCAGGAAACUGGGGCUAAUACCGGAUAGGAGCUCCUGCUGCAUGGUGGGGGUUGGAAAGUUUCGGCGGUUGGGGAUGGACUCGCGGCUUAUCAGCUUGUUGGUGGGGAAGUGGCUUACCAAGGCUUUGACGGGUAGCCGGCCUGAGAGGGUGACCGGCGACAUUGGGACUGCGAUACGGCCCAGACUCCUACGGGAGGCAGCAGUGGGGAAUAUUGCACAAUGGGCGGAAGCCUGAUGCAGCAACGCCGCGUGCGGGAUGACGGCCUUCGGGUUGUAAACCGCUUUCGCCUGUGACGAAGCGUGAGUGACGGUAAUGGGUAAAGAAGCACCGGCUAACUACGUG